GCCUGCCCUGUGACUAUAUGUUUAACGGCCGCGGUAUUUUGACCGUGCAAAGGUAGCGCAAUCACUUGUCUUUUAAAUGGAGACCCGUAUGAAUGGCAUAACGAGGGCUUAACUGUCUCCUUUUUCAAGUCAAUGAAAUUGAUCUCCCCGUGCAGAAGCGGGGAUAAAACCAUAAGACGAGAAGACCCUAUGGAGCUUUAGACACCAAGGCAGAUCAUGUUAAGCACCCCAAAUUAAAGGGCCAAACCAGAGGAGCCCUGCCCUAAUGUCUUUGGUUGGGGCGACCGUGGGGAAACAAAAAACCCCCAUGUGGAAUGGGAAAACCCUUUCCUAAAACUAAGAGCCCCCGCUCUAAUAAACAGAAUUUCUGACCAAUCAGAUCCGGCAACGCCGAUCAACGGACCGAGUUACCCUAGGGAUAACAGCGCAAUCCUCUUUUAGAGCCCAUAUCGACAAGAGGGUUUACGACCUCGAUGUUGGAUCAGGACAUCCUAAUGGUGCAGCCGCUAUUAAGGGUUCGUUUGUUCAACGAUUAAAGUCCUACGUGAUCUGAG
rnacentral:rRNA from 1 species